UACAGAGGUCCCGAGCGUUGUUCGGAUUCAUUGGGCGUAAAGAGCUCGUAGGCGGCUUGGCAAGUCGGGUGUGAAAACUCCAGGCUCAACCUGGAGACGCCACCCGAUACUGCCAUGGCUAGAGUCCGGUAGGGGACCACGGAAUUCCUGGUGUAGUGGUGGAAUGCGUAGAUAUCAGGAGGAAUACCAGUGGCGAAAGCGGCACCCUAGCAUUUUUCUGACGCUCAUGUGCGAAAGCGUGGGGAGCGAACGGG
rnacentral:rRNA from 1 species